rnacentral:rRNA from 1 species
UUACACAUGCAAGUCGAACGGCAGCACGAGAGAGCUUGCUCUCUUGGUGGCGAGUGGCGGACGGGUGAGUAAUAUAUCGGAACGUGCCCAGUANCGGGGGAUAACUACUCNAAAGAGUGGCUAAUACCGCAUACGCCCUACGGGGGAAA